UACGUAGGGUGCGAGCGUUGUCCGGAAUUACUGGGCGUAAAGAGCUCGUAGGUGGUUUGUCGCGUUGUUCGUGAAAUCUCACGGCUUAACUGUGAGCGUGCGGGCGAUACGGGCAGACUAGAGUACUGCAGGGGAGACUGGAAUUCCUGGUGUAGCGGUGGAAUGCGCAGAUAUCAGGAGGAACACCAGUGGCGAAGGCGGGUCUCUGGGCAGUAACUGACGCUGAGGCGCGAAAGCGUGGGGAGCGAACAGG
rnacentral:rRNA from 1 species